UACGUAGGGGGGCGAGCGUUGUCCGGAUUUAUUGGGCGUAAAGAGCGUGUAGGCGGCCAGGUAGGUCUGCUGUGAAAACUCGAGGCUCAACCUCGAGACGUCGGCGGAAACCAUCUGGCUAGAGUCCGGAAGAGGAGAGUGGAAUUCCUGGUGUAGCGGUGAAAUGCGCAGAUAUCAGGAAGAACACCCGUGGCGAAGGCGGCUCUCUGGGACGGUACUGAUGCUGAGACGCGAAAGCGUGGGGGAGCGAACAGG
rnacentral:rRNA from 1 species